rnacentral:rRNA from 1 species
AGAGUUUGAUCAUGGCUCAGAAUCAACGCUGGCGGCGCGCUUAACACAUGCAAGUCGAACGAGAAAGUGGAGCAAUCCAUGAGUACAGUGGCGUACGGGUGAGUAACACGUGGGUAAUCUACCUUUUAGUGAGGAAUAACCAAGGGAAACUUUGGCUAAUACCGCAUAAGCCUGAGAAGGGAAAGCAGAAAUGCGCUGAAAGAGGAGCCCGCGGCCGAUUAGCUAGUUGGUGAGGUAAAAGCCCACCAAGGCAGAGAUCGGUAGCCGGCCUGAGAGGGCACACGGCCACACUGGCACUGAAACACGGGCCAGACUCCUACGGGAGGCAGCAGUGGGGAAUCUUGCACAAUGGGGGAAACCCUGAUGCAGCGACGCCGCGUGAGCGAUGAAGCCCUUCGGGGUGUAAAGCUCUUUCGUCAGGGAAGAUAGUGACGGUACCUGGAGAAGCAGCUGCGGCUAACUACGUGCCAGCAGCCGCGGUAAUACGUAGGCAGCAAGCGUUGUUCGGAGUUACUGGGCGUAAAGGGUGUGUAGGCGGUUCUUUAAGUUUGUCGUGAAAUCUCCCGGCUUAACCGGGAGGGUGCGGCGAAUACUGAGGGACUAGAGUACGGGAGAGGAAAGCGGAAUUCCUGGUGUAGCGGUGAAAUGCGUAGAUAUCAGGAGGAACACCGGUGGUGUAGACGGCUUUCUGGACCGUAACUGACGCUGAGACACGAAAGCGUGGGUAGCAAACACGAUUAGAUACCCUGGUAGUCCACGCCCUAAACGAUGCAUAUUUGGUGUGGGCAGUUCAUUCUGUCCGUGCCGGAGCUAACGCGUUAAAUAUGCCGCCUGGGGAGUACAGUCGCAAGGCUGAAACUCAAGGAAUUGACGGGGCCCGCACAGCGGUGGAGCAUGGUGGUUCAAUUCGACGCACGCGAAGAACCUUAC